ensembl:lncRNA
GACCAUGACUGAACCUAAGGAGGGGGGCACUGGCCAUUUGGCCAAGGGACACGUGGACCACAGACAGCAGGUCAUCGAGUCCUGAGUCAAGAAGCCACCUGAGAAGCCACUCCUGGAUGACCAACCGUUGUGCACGUCGACACGCGCCCCCCAUCAGGUGCUUGCUAGUCUUUAAAUCAGCCGGCAGCGUUUCAGCCUCAGGGGCAAAUGACCUUGCAUUUGUUAUAAGUAGUGAGUGUCUCCCUUUAAAUCAAGGACGAGUUCUUUUAAGGCCUUACCUGCAAUUCAUUGUGUAGGUUUUAAUUAUCUUCAGGGCAGGGGGUCCCCACCUCCCUGAAGGACCCAGUGCCUCCCCAAACACACUAAGCUCCCUCUGGACUUCCUUCUUCCUGAAAUGCCUCCACUGAACCCCGCCAACCUGCCUCUCCCAGUCAGCACACCCUGCAGGUUGCAGCCAUGCACAGCUGCCCCUAAUCCCCGAGACUGGGCCACGUGUCCCCUCUGUGUAGCCAAGGCUGAUGCUCCUGUUGCAGGGUCAUCACUUGUGUAGGUUUUAAUUAUCUUCAGCUGGAAAUGAUAGAAACCCAAAGUAACAGUUGCUUAAAGAAGGCAGUUUUGCUUUUUUUUUUCCACACCUGUUUGGAGUCAGGCAGGUCAGGGCUGGUCUGCUCCUUCAUAAUGACCUCAGGAUGAGGUUGAUUAACCUACCACAUAGGUCCUCUUUGUCCAGAGCCACCUUGCUCACGGUGGCCACUUCAGCACCGGCCCUUACAUCUCCAUCCCAGUCAGCAGGAAAGAAGAUCUCUGAGAGGGAAGGGCAGAAAGCCAGGAUCAACUGUGUUGUUGUUUGAAGGAAGGGCCGCCACACUCUGCUUCAUCUGAUUGGCCAGAGUGUAAUCACAUGGCCAUGUCUAGCUGCAAGGGAGGCUGGAAGAUGUAGCUUUCAUUGUGGGUGAACAUGUGCCAGCUGAAAUCAGUUCUAUUACUCUGGCCGGGGGGGCGGGGUGGAUGGGGUGGCAAACGUGGGAGGAGAGCUGCCGCCUUGUCCACACCAUCUCUUUAUUCCUAGUGCUCAGCUUAGAGACAGACUGCUGGAUAUUCUGAGUGGAUAAGUGAUGCUUGAAUGACUGAGUGAGAGUCCAUGGUGGGCAGCAGGACCCGGCCAUGGGCUCCACUCUGCAAGGGGGGGCCCUCAUGGGAUGGCAGGCCCAGGGCAUCCUCAGCUCAGCUGCUCAGCAGCCCCAGGGAGCAUUGUGGUAAAGAGGGUCAGGACGCUUUGAUUUCCAGAUGCCCAGGGCCAGGGGCUGUGAGCAGGCCUGCAGGGGAGGGGCCAUCUCAGCGCCCGAUGGGGCACUUGGUGAGGUUCCUCCUUGCCUCAGCUCCUCUCCCAUCUCAGUGCCACCGUCCUCUCUGACUUCUGGGGUCUGAGCCUGGCACAGAGCUUCAGCAGAGAGGAAUCUCCUGAAAGCCAGCAGGUGUCUGCAGCCGUCACAUCCAGCCUGCUCCUCCUAGAAGGAGAAACUGAGGCUCAGAGGGGGCCCAGGAAGUGGGGGCUGGCUGGAGACCACCCCCCAUCAUCCAGUCACUAGCAGCCUGCUAGGUCCCCCAGGAGGGCCUGUUUUGCACCAUUUGCCACCUUGCCUCAAUUAUGCCUCUACCAAGAAAAGCACGCAGUACCGGAUAUCAGGAAUUUACCCCAAUUUCCCGCUGGGAGGCUCAAAGUACCUUGUUUCGUAAUUUCCUCCACCCACUUGACAUCAUCGGAGGCCUCCUCCUGGGAUCACGCAUCCCUUCUCUGGAUGAGGAAACUGAGGGAUGGGCCAGCUGAUGAGGGAGAGAGGGGGAGCCCCCGGAAAGAUGCUGCCGGCGGUCCCUUGGCCAGGCACCAAGGCUGGUCUGGGUCCCCAGGGGCUGCCUGUGGCAUCAUUCUUGUGUGGCUUUUGCCCCCCCCGAGCCCUCUUUCAGCUGAUGGCAUCCGUCAAAGUCACGGAAAGGCAUCACUAAGAACAGAGCCCCCUUUGAGUCCCGAAGGACCAAACGACCCCCCAAACCGAGAGUGAGCUGGGCUGAGGAGGUAUCGCUAGCUUGUGGGACUCUCUGGAUGCUUCUGCUGCUGCUGCUGCUAAGUCACUUCAGUUGUGUCUGACUCUGUGCAACCCCAGAGACGGCAGCCCACCAGGCUCCCCCGUCCCUGGGAUUCUCCAGGCAAGAACACUGGAGUGGGUUGCCAUUUCCUUCUCCAAUGCAUGAAAGUGAAAAGUGAAAGUGAAGUCGCUCAGCCGUGUCCGACUCCUAGCGACCCCAUGGACUGCAGCCUAUCAGGCUCCUCCGCCCAUGAGAUUUUCCAGGCAAGAGUACUGGAGUGGGGUGCCAUUGCCUUCUCCCUGGAUGCUUCUAAUGUGCUCCAUCAGCCAGGCCUGACGAAGCUUGAGUUCAAGGGCUUUUCCAGGGUAGACUCCUCCCCUCACCACCCAUCAUCACCAUUGAGAGAAAAGAAGCGCCCGUGCUGCACCAGCUCGGGGAAGGACGGGCGGCCACAGCUGAGGGACCACAUCUGGGCAGACAGCCGUCGAAGAGCGGGUCGAUGCAGAGUCAUCGAAGAAAAUUGCAUCUGAGAACGUCGGGCAAAUCACCGUGAUUCUGUAGGCUGGUUUUCCUUGCAAACCACUGAGGCCUGGCAUGGGCCCAGAUAUAAUAGAAUUGACCAUACUGCCCGCUUAGGAUGCAGGCCUCGCAGCCUCAUAAAGGGCCUGAGAGAUCUGUAAACUGAAGCACCAGCCCCAUCU